GAAUGGGCGGCAAACCUACGAGGUCAUCAUUAAA
rnacentral:sRNA from 1 species